UGUUGAUGCACUGCACCUGUGUGCCCUCUGUUCCCUUUUUGGUUGGUCAGUGCCCCUGGGCACUCCCUGGCUCAUUGCUGUCAGUGCUGCUCACCUGCUUCUCACAGCUGUGCCCACUGGGGAUGAGGUCCAGCCACAGCCCCACCCCAAUUACCACAAACUAUGUGCCUACAACUGCUAUCCUGCCAAAAUCCUGCCAAGUUCCCAUAUUACUUUGCUCCUCAUGCUCUCAGUAUUUUUUUUUUUCCUUUCAAUACCCUUUUACCACAUUGUUUUGGCCUUUAGGAUGCUCUUCAGUCAUAACAGAAUUCAAGGGUUUUGUGACUUUUAACAAAGUGAAAAUUUGGACCGAGAACAUUUGCACACAAAAGGAUCUGUUCUACAGCAUUAUGGAUUAAGAGCUUUCUUGUAACACUUGUCGACUGUCCAAACCAAGAUGAACAAUCUUAUUUGCUACCAAACAACUAUCUUUCUGGAACCCAAUAUUGUAACCAUGAACACACAUGGGGAAAAGCCUAAACUCCAGUGUUACCUCAAUUACUUGUGGUUAUUAAUCACAGAUCAGCUUUUGAGCUUCAGCCUCACCCAGAGCUACAAACAAGUUGUCUUGGUUUGAAACAGUUUAAAGAGAUACCUCAAGAGGAGAGGAAAUGGUAAUGUUACAAACCUGCAGCCUAUAUGAAGAAGUUUCCAUGGCCUAGAGACCAUAUACAAGAUAAUAUUUUGGUUAACUGAAAGAGCUCAUUAUUUUUUGUUUUCCUAUCCAUAAACUCCCUGAUCUCUAGUAAAUUAUGAAG